rnacentral:lncRNA from 1 species
GUGUUUCCAACUUCCUUCCUUUAAAAUAUUCCCUUGGAUAACAUAGCUCUUUCUUUUCCAUAGGCACAAGCUCUGUUCCUCAUCAGAUGGAGCCAGAAACAGAUGCUCAGGAAGAAAAACAACACUGGAAAAGAGAGGAUAACUUCGAAGGCCCUUCCUCUUCUUUUAAGAAGCUAUGUCCUGCCAAACCUUCUCCCAGCUUUCUUGAGCUUCCAUCUUCCCAACGGAGGCCCAGUCCAGGUCUACUCUGUGCCCAGGCUUCAAGGAAAGGACAGAAAAAAUUCACCCCUGAUCAUCAGCCACAGGAAUGCUACGGCCUACUGGAGUGCAUGCACAACAACAUCCAGAUCCAAACCCAGAUCGCUCUGACACAGCUGAGCAUCCUGGAAGGCUUGCAGGAAUCCAUGAACUUGCUUCUGGCUAGCGAUGAGGAGAAGAGGAAGGAGCAGAGAGACCAGGAGGGCCUGCAAAGCUCAGUCUCCUCCCCCACCUAACAUAGCCAUAGGUUUGGUGACUAGCUUUGAUUCCCAUAGUCUCAUCUCUGUGGCCUCGUCUCCUUUGCGUUCACUCUGGCGCUGGCUAUCAAGUGUAUAGCUACAGGAUUGGGGUUUGUGUUACCAUGACAACUGAUAGGGCUCUGCUAGAGGUGCUGCUUGGAAG